GAGCUCCGUCAACAUGAAGCCAAAUGAACAAGGAAAGAAACGUAAAGAGAAAGAACCUCCUGCCCACAAAGAAGGUUUUUGCAGAGACUAAGGAUGAACUGUCUUUAGUUCUGUUUGGCACGGAUGCCACCAAAAACCCUCUGGACCAGGUCGACCAGUACCAGAACAUCACACUGCACAUCACCUCAUGAUACCCGACUUUGAGCUUUUGGUCGAGGUUGAGAAUCAGAUCCAUCCAGAGAACCAACAGGCUGAUUGUAUCCUUUCUGCUUAACAACCUUUGUACUCAUUUGAUGAUACAGAGUUCAGUUUAUAAUUCUCUUGGUUACUUUCAAAUCUCUAAAUGGUCUGGCUCCUCCUUACUAUUUCAGAACCCUUUAUCCCACACCAAGAACUAUCAGAUCAAAUAAUUAUCUGGCGUUAAAAAGUCCAGUCUUAAAACAAAUGGGGAUAUGUCUUUACUGUUUUAGUCCUAACGCUGUGAAACAAGCACCCCUUUCCUGUCAAAAAUGUUCAGGCAGUGUCUUAUUUCACAAAGCUUUUAAAAACUCACCUCUACAGACAGGCAUUUGUAUAAUACUUUCUGUCUUUUCUAAUGUUUCAUCGCUGUCUUUCUGAAUAAUUUUCUGUCUUUUUUUAAUGUUUUAUUGACUUAUAUUCAGUUCUUGUUGUUGCUUUUUGAUAUGUUGUACCUCCAGUUUUGAAAGAUGCUCAAGAAAUAACAUAAUUGUUGUAAGUGGUAAUAAUAGAGUGGAUUAGCUUAGUUUUGACAAAUAUGUCGUCAAACAGGGGUGAACUGGCUAGAUGCUUUACCUAUUGCUCUUAUGGCGGUCAGUAAACAGUGUGACUGGUUUCACACCUUAUGAGCUUCUGACCGGCCGCCACUUUCUGGGACCGGGAGCUGCGCUACAGUUAAGUGAGGGAGAAAUGCCUAAGGUAGGCUAUAAGCCGUUCCAUGACCAACUAACGGCUCUUGUGUCAGCUUUCUCACGACAGGUGGAGGAGAAGAGAGAACCGGACCAGCGGAGCCCAAUGCAGCUGAGUGGGUUCUGCUGAAGUGCAUCAAGAGGAAAUGGUCUGAACCUCGUUGGACUGGUCCAUUCCAGGUGGUUGAGAGGAGCUCACAUGCAGUGAGGCUGAAAGGUAAAGGUGACACGUGGUAUCACUGGAGCAUGUGUGCACCAGCAGAGAAACCAGAAAGAACAUUAGGUGACAUUAUUGACGAGCAGAAGGGUGACCAGUGAACUGCUUCACUGCGGAAUGUGACUCUGUGAUCAAUUCAAGAAGGAUUUAAGCUCUCUGGAAGAAGGUUGUCUUCUAGAUACAAAGUGUGUGUAAGUGCAGAGUUUUUGACUGUUUUGCUUUUGCAGGAAGGAUGGAGAGUUUCCAGAACUGGUGAGGGAGGAAAUGUACGUGUAUUUUCAUCAUUGUUGCUGUUAUCAUUGUUACAGGUUUUACAGUGUGGGAACUGUUGGAGAAGGAACGACUGACCAGACACCAGGGGGCUGAUAAAAAUCAACCUAAAAAAAAACGUAAGCCAAAUAACACAGCUACAGAAGCGCAGCAAACUAAUUCCACUACAAGAGAUAAAAAGGGGGUGGAAUCACUAGAUUAUACCAAAUUAUCAGCCACGGAUGUAGUCAGGUUGGCCACAGGUUAUGGGGAUAAAAACCUAUGGCUGGAAUGGGUAACUAAUACUGCCAAAGAAACCAACAUGACUGGUUGGAAAGAAUGUUUGGAAAGUGGAAAACUAUGAUUGUAUCUAUUGUUAUUUCUAUAUUAGGUAUGCUUAAUGCUUUAGUUUUGUGUGGAUGUUGUUGUACUCCUUGUAUCAGAUCUAUUUGCCUCAGGAUCAUCACCACAGCAGUAGAGGGUAAACAGCCUCCUCCGUACCAGAUGCCGUUGCUCGGUGUGGAUGGAACAAUCGACGACGGGUUGGAGUCAGAUGAGGAACGGGAGCCAAUGGCUUUGGAUAACAUGAGGGUUUAAGUGUUAGUCUCAUUUAGAUGAGACCAAUAGGGGGAAUUCUAUUGGGAUUUCUAUGAUAUUUCUAAAUGGAGUUCUUAUACUGUUUUUAUACUACUGGCUUGCUUUUAUAGAAUCAUAUCAAUGCUAGAUAAAUGACAUGGUAAUACUAGUCCUGCAUCCAUUAAGAAGUAUGGAGACUCAGAAUAAUGUUCUUCUUGUUGGAGAUAUUUUGAAACAUAGACUUUCAUUAGGUAUAAGCUUCACAGUUGUAAGCGUCAUUUGUUUUCCUCUUCAGGCCUAAACAAUAGGCCUAUGCAAUUUUAAAACAUGAAAAUAUGUUCAAAUGUUUUUCAAAGCGUAAAAAGAAAUAGUUGUUUGUGGAUUUACCAUAAAACACAAUUGAAUUAUUUUUACAUUAAGUUCAGAGAGUUUUAUAUUGAGUUCUCAGGCGCAUGUAGUCCACUGGAGUGGAUGUGUGUGCAACUCUCAAAAAAUGACAUUUUUGAAAAAAAAAAGUAAAUAUUUGUUUUUUCAUGCCCUUAUAAGAAAAAAAACACCAAAGAAAAUUUUUUUAACUUAGGCUUUAAUAAUUCAUGCAUCAGAGGGUUAAUGGUUUGAGUAUGAUCUCUGCAGGUUUUCAUUCUAUAACAUUAGUUUAAAGAAAGGGUUCCCAAUCAGCGCACAACUGAGGGUCAUUACGAGAUAAUUACAUGAAUAAUACAUUAUAUACAAGAAUACAUGAUAAUGUCCUAUUAAUAAAGCAACAUAAAAACACUAUUCAUCACCACACAAGGCCUUAAACCCUUUGAAUCCUAAAACCUACCCAAUGAAAAUUGUAUCUUUCAACAAAAAAAUCUACAUUCAUCAGAGCCAGAACAGAUUUUCAGCUUUCUAUUCGUCCAUGAAUGUAUUGUUUGUUACAUGCAGUUCUGAUGGAAAAUUUACCAUUAGUUAGCCAUUAAUAUUUCAUGAAACUCCCAUUAUUCUACACGUCUGAUUGAAAAUUUUGUCAAUAUCAGCUGCAACUGACUCAACUGUGAGCAAAAAUCAUUUGCCAAAAAGUUUCCAACUGGGCCAAACUGCAAGCUGUGUUUUCAUAGAUCAGAAAGGAGACAAGCAUGGAAGCAAAUGAAGAAAUGUAUGUUGUAAAAUAUCUAGGUUAAUUCCUAUCAUUAAUACAAGUCUACCAAACUGAUUCAAAUGAUCAAAUUAACACAGUGAAGUAAAGAGUACUGGUAAUGUGCAGCUAUUUUCAUAAUUUCAAGCUAAAAUGUUGAUUGUUCUUGAGGUUUCAGCUUUGCAGAUGUGGAAACUCAAUGCAUUGGUUUCUUACGCACAGAUUUAUUUUAUUUUUUUUUAUGUUUUUUAGACGUUACUCAAAUAAAACAAGGCAUUUAACACUGUUGGAAAUUAUAUCAGGUAUUUUUUGUAGCACUUUCCAACACUGUAUGGACAAAGCAAUAAUUGAUCCGUUAAUGGACAAAAUGAUUUGUAUUACAGAUACUAUCACCAACAUUUCUUGUUCAUUUUAUUUAGUUGUCGGCCUUGGACGAUGAGGUCAGGACCACUACGCUGCAGCUCGCUGGUCCCGUCCUGAAGCUCAUCCACGCUGUCCUCCUCAACAGACCAAAUCAAGAUCUGUUUAGACUAUGCAGACAUCAACAUGAUCAAUAUGCUAUCUUUCGGCCCAUCCUAAAAUCGCAAAAUAGAACAUUUACCUUAAGUUAACUGUGUUUAUGAAUAUAGAAAAUAAUUACUGACAACUAAUAUCUUUUUGGGUGCUUUUAUGCAGGAAAAGAAGCGGGAUGCUACUGUGGAUCUGCUGCAGUAUCUGGAGAGGUCAGAGGAACAGUUCUUGGAAGAGAACAGAAGACACCAACACCUGACCACUGCCAUGCUCCAGAACAUCCAGAGGACGGAUGGAAAUUCAAACACCUUGGUUGGACUGAUGGGACGCAUGGUGUCGGUGCUGGAGCGACUAUCCCAGAAAUAAACUGCAUUGUCCACUACUUCUGCCUUUUCUAGAAAAAAGUGUUAUUUUUUGUAAAUUCUUCUAAUUUUUAGUUAUUUGAGUUCACUUGUAUUUUUACUCUUGCACUUUGGGUGAAUUAUAAGAAAUUUGUGAUGAACGAUGCAUGUUUUGUCUAUAAUCUAGAGACUUCUAUGUACACACAUUUUGACAGAUAAUCAGUUGUGCUUUUCAACCACGUUCCUAUUCUUAUACAUAUCAGCAGUAUAUGUUGUUUUUAACUGUCACACCAGGCUAGAUGGAUAAACUGCACUACUGCAGCAGAUAUAUUAUUGAAGUGUGCUUACAUUACGUGUCUACAUACACCACUCACAAAAAGUUACUCAACUUUUGGGUGAAUUUUAUGGAAAAUGUAAAAGGUUCAUGCUAUGGUGAUAUUAUAUCAUGAAAGUAGGGCAUUAAAGUAAAAACGUGCAAUAGUGAUUUCCUCAUCUCAAACUAUUGAAACAAAAGCUAACAGCAGUGGUGGGUAUAUCACAAUAAAAAUGUCUCAUGACAGUUUGGACAGAACAGCAGCUUUGUGUAGAGUGAUCGCGGAUGUGUCCAGACAACAGCUGCCCUCUGCUCGCUAUUAGCCUUACGACCAUCUGUUACAAUAAACAUCGAUAUUAUCAUCAA